AGCUUUUAGAAUUUAUUGAAAGUAUUUUCUGCCCGGUGAUUUUUUUUAACGGCCGCGGUAUUCUGACCGUGCAAAGGUAGCAUAAUCAUUUGUUUCUUAAUUGGGGACUGGAAUGAAUGGAUUUACGUAAAAAAUAUUGUCUCUUUGUUUUUUUUUGAAUUUUCUUUUUAUAUGAAGAAGUGUAAAUGAAAUUAUAAGACGAGAAGACCCUAUUGAGUUUUAUUGUUUUUUUAUAAUUUUUUUUUAUUUUAGUUGUUUUUUAAUUUUGCAAUUUGGUUGGGGCAACCUAAGAGGAAUAGAUUCUCUUUAUUUUAUUUUUAAUCCAAUAUUAUUGAAUUUAGACUAAAUUACCAUAGGGAUAACAGCGUUAUUUUUCUAAAGAGUUCUUAUCGAUAGAAAAGAUUGCGACCUCGAUGUUGGACUAAAAUUUCCUCAGUGUGUAGUCGUUCUGAAGGGUUGGUCUGUUCGACCUUUAAUAUUUU
rnacentral:rRNA from 1 species